AUUCCUGAAGUUGUUGAAUUCAGGCAGAGUAUGAUUGAGCAAGGUGUCAAUGGUACCCAGCCACUGUUUAUUGCAAAUGAGGGUAAAGUUGUCUCCUUGGAAGAUGAUUUCAUGCGUUUAACUAGAAAAUGCACUAUUGAAGAGCUUCAAGAUAACAAUGAGGAGGGUUCUUUUAUCAUUUUUGGUACAAUCCGAGGUAUUGUUGAGGAUGGAGGUUGGUGGUAUUCUGCGUGUGUGUGUGGAAAGGGUAUCUAUCCUCAAAAUGGUGCAUAUUACU